ensembl:scaRNA
AUGGGCUAGAAAAUGGCUGCUGUGUGGCUGGGUCUCCUUGGGGGUCCUGUUUUAUACCAGUGAGCCUGACUUUGCCCUAGAUUAAGAAAAGGCAACCUUUUAGGGGUCCGCCUUAUGCAGUAACAGGUGUGAGCAUUCUUACAGGAACCUGAUGGUCAUGUAUGAUACUGCAUACAGGU